rnacentral:miRNA from 1 species
UUAUUGCUUGAGAAUACACGGC